rnacentral:rRNA from 1 species
GACAGAGGUGCCAAGCGUUAGGCGGAAUCACUGGGCUUAAAGCGUGUGUAGGCGGAAUUGUAAGUACCUUGUGAAAUCCCCGGGCUCAACCCGGGAACUGCGUCCGAUACUGGCAGGCUUGAAUCCGGGAGAGGGAUGCGGAAUUCCAGGUGUAGCGGUGAAAUGCGUAGAUAUCUGGAGGAACACCGGUGGCGAAGGCGGCAUCCUGGACCGGCAUUGACGCUGAGGCGCGAAAGCCAGGGGAGCAAACGGG